GAUGAACGCUGGCGGCGUGCCUAACACAUGCAAGUCGAGCGAUUCUCUUCGGAGAAGAGCGGCCGACGGGUGAGUAACGCGUGGGUAACCUGCCCUGUACACACGGAUAACAUACCGAAAGGUAUGCUAAUACGAGAUAAUAUGCUUUUAUCGCAUGGUAGAAGUAACAAAGCUUUUGCGGUACAGGAUGGACCCGCGUCUGAUUAGCUAGUUGGUAAGGUAACGGCUUACCAAGGCGACGAUCAGUAGCCGACCUGAGAGGGUGAUCGGCCACAUUGGAACUGAGACACGGUCCAAACUCCUACGGGAGGCAGCAGUGGGGAAUAUUGCACAAUGGGCGAAAGCCUGAUGCAGCAACGCCGCGUGAGCGAUGAAGGCCUUCGGGUCGUAAAGCUCUGUCCUCAAGGAGGAUAAUGACGGUACUUGAGGAGGGAGCCCCGGUUAACUACGUGCCAGCCGCCGCCGUAA
rnacentral:rRNA from 1 species